rnacentral:rRNA from 1 species
GAUGAACGCUGGCGGCGUGCCUAAUACAUGCAAGUCGAGCGAACAGACGAGGAGCUUGCUCCUCUGACGUUAGCGGCGGACGGGUGAGUAACACGUGGAUAACCUACCUAUAAGACUGGGAUAACUUCGGGAAACCGGAGCUAAUACCGGAUAAUAUAUUGAACCGCAUGGUUCAAUAGUGAAAGACGGUUUUGCUGUCACUUAUAGAUGUAUCCGCGCCGCAUUAGCUAGUUGGUAAGGUAACGGCUUACCAAGGCAACGAUGCGUAGCCGACCUGAGAGGGUGAUCGGCCACACUGGAACUGAGACACGGUCCAGACUCCUACGGGAGGCAGGAGUAGGGAAUCUUCCGCAAUGGGCGAAAGCCUGACGGAGCAACGCCGCGUGAGUGAUGAAGGUCUGCGGAUCGUAAAACUCUGUUAUUAGGGAAGAACAAAUGUGUAAGUAACUAUGCACGUCUUGACGGUACCUAAGCAGAAAGCCACGGCUAACUACGU